UGAAUGGACAAACGUAAAUAUAACUGUUUCUUAUAAAUAAAUAAAAAUUUAUCUUUARGUGAAAAAGCCUAAAUUUUAUUAAAAGACAAAAAGACCCUGCAGAGCUUAAUAUUUCCCUUUUACAAUUAAAAAUAAAAUAUUUUGUUGGGGCGACAAAGGAUAAUAUAAAUCAUCCUUAAUAAAUAAGGAACCCUAUCCUCUUAAAAGAUCCUUAUUUGAUCAAAGACUAAAGCUACCUCAGGGAUAACAGGCUUAUCUUUCUCAAGAGUUCAUAUCUACAGAAAGUUUUGGCACCUCGAUGUUGGCUUAGGAA
rnacentral:rRNA from 1 species